rnacentral:lncRNA from 1 species
AGGGAUGAUAGAGAAAAUGUUGGAGUGAGAGAGAUGAUAAAGAAAAUGUUGGAGUGAGAGAGAUGAAAGAUAAAUGGUUAAGAGGAAUGAGGGAGGUGAGUAAGGGUUUGGGUUUUUUUUUUUUUUUUAGUUUUGAGAAUGAAAAUUAUUUAAAUAUCCUUGACCUUAAAACUUAGAAUCUAUGAUAAAUGAGGGUAUUUUUGUCUACUAUAAUCCGGUACACAUUGUUAAAACGUACCAACUGAAAAACAGG